UCUCAUGCUGUGCUCCUCUAAAGGGAAGCAUUUUCUGUUAUUUGAAAGGAAAGAACUCGCUUCCCUUUAGAGUGUCACCGUUUGAGA
rfam:Callithrix jacchus chromosome 22, whole genome shotgun sequence